rnacentral:rRNA from 1 species
AAGCGAGCCGGUGACGGUAAGCGAAUCCCAAAAAUAACGUCCCAGUUCGGAUUGUAGUCUGCAACCCGACUACAUGAAGCUGGAAUCGCUAGUAAUCGCGGAUCAGAAUGCCGCGGUGAAUACGUUCCCGGGUCUUGUACACACCGCCCGUCACACCAUGGGAAGUCGGAAAUGCCCGAAGUCUGUGACCGAACCGAGAGGGAGGAGCAGCCGAAGGCAGGUCGGAUGACUGGGGUGAAGUCGUAACAAGGUAUC